ACAACAUAAUGGCGACGAAAGCAAACAGCCGUGGAAGCCGGAGCGUAGAGCGAGUGACUUAAAUCUGACGUUUGUCAGAUUUAACACUACUAGUAGUAUUCAACACUACUAGUAGUAUUUAACACAGGAACACAGGAAAUGGACACAAAACACUCGAACCACGAUACGCAAUACGCACACGAAAACACGCCGGAAGUUGCCGUUCCAAAGUUGUACGGAGUUACGACCGCAGUUUUGGGGUUGUUUAAGACCUGCUACACACAAAAGGAUUUUUCAAAUCUUUUAUUCUUUUUUUCAACUGAUUCAGGACAAUUUUGCAUUGCUGAAUCCGAAUCUGAAUCCGUUUCUCUUGUUCAGGUCAGGCUUUGAUGCAAAGUUGUGAAAAGUUUAUUCAUCAAAUGUUAAAAACGUUGCUUACUGUAAACUGAACAGUAGAUACUGAUAAAAGUAAGUACCUGUAAAAUGAUUGUUUUGUCAUCAUUGCUCGAAAUUCAAGACACGGAACGCCGUUUAUUUGAACCUCUAAAGCGAAAAUACCUGUCCACGUAAACAAAAAUAUGUGCCCAUGGUUCAAAACGUUGACCUGAUUGAGCAAAACCAAUGUGAAAUUUGGAUUCAGCACCUCACAACUGUCCUAAAUUAGCUAAAAAAUCUCCGACAAUAAUUUUGCAUUUAUUUAUUUAUUAUUUGUGCUGUUGAACCGUCAGCUCAAGUAGAAUGGAGAAUCCCUUUUAUGCUGGAACAGGUUUACUGUGCCACAGUUCAGGUUUUAAGCUGGCACUGUGGUUCUUCGUAUUCUUGAAAAUUUCAGUCGGACAGAACAAAGUUUUAAACAGGAGUGACAGUAAAAAAGAUAAGUAAAUAUAGGAAGAGAAGACAACAAAAGACAUGACACUAGCGGCAGAAGCUGCUUCAGUUCUUCCAGCUCAGUCUUCGCCUCGGUCAACCCUUCGGUGCCCUCUGCAGCAUCGAUCAAGUCCUGCAACAUGGCUACACAAAGACUGGGAUCAGCACUGCAACACUAUUGCAUUACACCAGGCUUGGAGUCGCCGUUUUCUUCGUCAGCCUCAGUCUUCUCACCAUUCGGCUCUUCAGUCUUUGCCAUGCCGUCUUUGAGACUUUCCCCAGCACCGUUCACGACUCCAUUCAGUUGCGCUUCCUCAACCAGACUCUUCUCCGCUCCAUUUAAUUGGGAAGCAGAGUGCUUUCCAAAGUCACCCCCAGCUUGUUUGGUUGGAGACUCUGCAAGACCAUUUUCCUGCUUCACCUCAAUGCUGCUCUGACCAUCCUCUGACUGCGCUUUGGUUACUACUGGCUCAGGUUUCUCCGCCAUUGCGUCAUACACCUGCUUUCGUAGCUCAUCACGAGUGUUUUCUGCACCAGAGUGGCAUGUAGUAAAUUAGUUUGGCUUGUUUCACCAAGAAUUAUAUUUGCCUGUUAGUUUGCAUUAAUUCUUGACAAUGUUCAUGGGCAGGGAACUUGUGCAGCAUUGGACAAGCCAUACUAAGCAACUGUUACAACCAUGUAAAAUUCUAUUAAAACAGAUAC